AUUGCUUUGCAGCCUUUGGGCUAGGAUCAAGUGUAGUAUCUGUUCUAAUCAGUUUAAUAUAUGCUAUGUCCUCUGUCCAAAGACAAUAUAUUAAAUGGAUUUUGGAGCAGGGAGUUGGAAUAGGAGCUUGCUCCGUCCACUGCACACACUGACCUGGUACUGCCGUACCUCCAGGAGCGGUUCCUCUCCU
rnacentral:snRNA from 1 species